AUUUCUCAUUGUGUGCAAGAGGAAGAAAGGUUAAAAAAGGACAAAACUGAAAGUGCUCAUUUGGCCACUACCCCUAAGGAUAAGGGCAAGAAAAGGAAAUUUGAGAAUGAAGCUGCUAAGGGUCCAGUUCAAAUAUCAACCUGGACAUGUGAAGAAAGAUUGUGCCAAAUAUCACGCAUGGCGUGUAAAGAAAGGGUUGCCUGAGCUACCGAAAGCCAAGUGAUGGUGAAAGAUACAUCUUUGUGGGCGAUGGACAAUCGGUAGAAGUGGAAGCAAUUGGGCAUUUCAGAUUGUUAUUAGGAACUGGUUUUUAUUUGGAUUUGAAAGACACUUUUGUUGUGCCGUCUUUUAGACGGAAUUUAGUUUUCGUUUCUUUGUUGGACAAAUUUGGAUAUUCUUGUUCAUUUGGAAACAAUCAGUUUACUUUGUCUUUAAAUUCAAAUAUUAUUGGAACUGGUUAUUUGAAUA